rnacentral:rRNA from 1 species
CAGGGAUUGCCUCAGUAACGGCGAGUGAAGCGGCAAAAGCUCAAAUUUGAAAUCUAGCACUUUCAGUGUUCGAGUUGUAAUUUGAAGAAGGUAACUUUGGUUUUGGCUCUUGUCUAUGUUCCUUGGAACAGGACGUCACAGAGGGUGAGAAUCCCGUGCGAUGAGAUGCCCAAUUCCAUGUAAAGUGCUUUCGAAGAGUCGAGUUGUUUGGGAAUGCAGCUCUAAGUGGGUGGUAAAUUCCAUCUAAAGCUAAAUAUUGGCGAGAGACCGAUAGCGAACAAGUACAGUGAUGGAAAGAUGAAAAGAACUUUGAAAAGAGAGUGAAAAAGUACGUGAAAUUGUUGAAAGGGAAGGGCUUGAGAUCAGACUUGGUAUUUUGCGUUCCCUUCCUUUUUGGUUGGGUUCCUCGCAGUUUACUGGGCCAGCAUCGGUUUGGAUGGUAGGAUAAUGACAUUGGAAUGUAGCUUUACUUCGGUGAAGUGUUAUAGACUUUGUUGAUACUGCCUAUCUAGACCGAGGACUGCGUCUUUGACUAGGAUGCUGGCGUAAUGAUCUUAAGCCGCCCGUCUUGAAACACGGACCUCCUGUGUGAGUGA